GUAAACCAGUCAUGGAGAGAGGCUUGUUUUAGCGAUCUCUCUUCAGUAGGUAAACCACACAUGGAGAGAGGCUUGUUUUAGCGAUCUCUCUUCAGUAGGUAAACCACACAUGGAGAGAGGCUUGUUUUAGCGAUCUCUCUUCAGUAGGUAAACCAGUCAUGGAGAGAGGCUUGUUUUAGCGAUCUCUCUUCAGUAGGUAAACCACACAUGGAGAGAGGCUUGUUUUAGCGAUAUCAUCAUUAAAGAUCCACGUCUCUUUUUCCAUAUUCUGACGUCUAUCAUCACCACAAAUACACUUUCUGGUUCCAGCUGUUCAAUUCUUCUUAGCUAGAUGGUUAGGUUGUGUUUCUUUCAAAUACAUGGUUAGGUUAUGUUUCUUUCAUACACAUGUUGUAGUAUGGUUAAAUGUUGAGGUGGUUGACUGUUGAGGCUGCCGCUCUCUUUAAGAACCCUAUUACUGUAAUGACGAUGAGCUGUCAAUGAAACAUGUAAUUAUGGAGUCACCUUUACAUGUUAAAACAUGUCCUCUGGUUUGGCUGACGUUCAAUAGGCUAGGAUGUAUUUCAGUUAACAUGGCCACAUUUAUCAAAUCUCUUAUUCUCUCCUUCGCCCCUCUGUCACUGUUCAUCCCUCCAUCCCUAUCUUCAAAGCCUGUUCAAACGCAGCAAGAGCAACAGCAACAUGGACAAACGAACAAUAAUGUACAAAAAAGAGAAUUUGAAGUAUAGUAUUAGAUUAAUUUUGUAUUGUAUUUAUUGUGUAU
rnacentral:lncRNA from 1 species